rnacentral:rRNA from 1 species
CCUACGGGGGGCAGUAGUGGGGAAUAUUGGACAAUGGGCGAAAGCCUGAUCCAGCGACGCCGCGUGAGUGAUGAAGGCCUUCGGGUUGUAAAGCUCUGUCAGGAGGGAAGAAUGAGCCUGUGGCUAAUAUCCACGGGAAGUGACGGUACCUCCGGAGGAAGCACCGGCUAACUCUGUGCCAGCAGCCGCGGUAAUACAGAGGGUGCAAGCGUUGCUCGGAAUUACUGGGCGUAAAGCGUGUGUAGGCGGUGAAAUCCCUAGGCUCAACCUAGGAACUGCGCCCCAAACUGCGAGACUUGAGUGUCGGAGAGGAUAGUGGAAUUCCCAGUGUAGAGGUGAAAUUCGUAGAUAUUGGGAGGAACACCAGUGGCGAAGGCGGCUAUCUGGACGAACACUGACGCUGAGACACGAAAGCGUGGGGAGCAAACAGGAUUAGAUACCCGUGUAGUC